CAGUCGCCGCGGGAAUACGUAGGGUGCGAGCGUUAAUCGGGAUUACUGGGCGUAAAGGGCGCGUAGGCGGUUUAGUGAGUGUGAUGUGAAAGCCCCGGGCUUAACCUGGGAAGUGCAUCGCAAACGACUAAACUGGAGUAUAAGAGAGGGUGGCGGAAUUUCCGGUGUAGCGGUGAAAUGCGUAGAGAUCGGAAGGAACGUCAAUGGCGAAGGCAGCCACCUGGCUUAUUACUGACGCUGAGGCGCGAAAGCGUGGGGAUCAAACAGGAUUAGAUACCCGCGUAGUCCCUGUCUCUUAUAC
rnacentral:rRNA from 1 species